ensembl:lncRNA
CAAUUAUGGAGGAGUAAUACUUUAAAAUGGGAGAAAUAUUGAUACACACACACAUACACAGAGCCUAAAGGGAACAGUAUUUGUGCCAUGGAGUGUUAACAAGAAUCUGAGGUCCAUAUUAGAAAAGCUGCUAAAAUCAUAAAAGUUUGCAGAAUUGUAAUAAAUGAUGAAUAUGAAUUAGUGGUCUGUGAUAGUGUAUUAAUUUGUAGGGAAAAAAAACAUGUUGCCCAAGGUGUAAUUGAACCCAUGACCUUUGGGUUGCAGACCUGUGUCAUUACCAACUGCGCCACUGGGAAAGAGAGCGAGCGCCUGGAAAACAGGGUGAUGAGCAGUCAGAAUUAGAUUGCGGUGAGAGGCGAAAAACGCCGUUUUUUGCAGUUACAAAACGUCGUGUAACUCAAAAACUAGGUGGACUAGAAGCAUAAUUCUUGUACUGGGUGAAUCAGCGUACUUUGGUGUACUUUGACUGUGAUUUGCAUUGCUC